rnacentral:misc_RNA from 1 species
GUGAAUCAUCAAAUUUUUGAAUGCAAAUUGCACUUUCUGGUAUUACGGAAAGUAUGCGUGUUUGAGGGUCAGUUAAAUAAAAAUAGGUGUUGUUGCUGCUUUUCGUGGUGACGCGUCGGAAUUGAGUUGUAUUAUAUUCGGUUAAGUGAUUUAAAAUUUUGCAUGAUUUUCGAACGUAUUUAAAUGGUUUACGUACGUUUGAGAUAUCGAAUGAUUAUUAGGUUUGGUCAUUCCCAUGAUUCGCGCUUAUAAUUUUUAAUUAUAUGACCUC